CAGGCGUCAAGGGAUUCGGGAAAGUUCCGAUGACAGCAGUGAUCCUCUUCGGAUUGCAGUUCCCCGGGGAAACUGCUUCCGACGCUCCCUCCAGAUAGGAUAGGACGCUUUACUGAGAAAAUUCGGGGCAAGAGAUCAGGGGUGCCAUACCAAGAUGCUUAUGACAUCAGAACUGUGAGGCUGUGUGAGAUGUUCUGAAGGCCCAAGGUACAUCCAGAAAGACUGAUAACCCAUCCCUGGUGGCUUAGGCCCAUUACUGCAACACUAUCACAGAAGAGGCAGAAGGAGGGGUGCCUUGCAUUGGAAGGCAGUCAAAAACUACAGUCUGAAGAAAGUCUGCCUCAAAUAAAUGAAGAAACACAUAAAUAGAAGGGGUGGGUUAGCUGAUAGGCAUCACACACCUCUAAAAUCUCUCAUAUGAACCAUAAGUCCAAGGACACCAUGCACCUUAGUGGCUGCCAAUUUGUGGUCCUUCGCAUCCAGUCCUCCCUGGCCCCAAAGUUAAACGAGAUAAGAAUCUAAGACAUGAAAUGGUUCCUAAGGGCCUAUGGGAAUGCAUAUCUGAAAAAUAUAGUUUCAAGCUCCCAGCCUAUAAGAAAGUAACUUCAAACACCAAUUUCUGCUGCUACAUCACCAUCCCUAAACCUAGCCGAAGGUGGUAAGAAUGGAGUAUUUUCUGGGCACUCAACCAUGUGCUUAGCACACUUCUAAGAGCUUUGCUUGUGUUAGCUUGUUUUGUAGAAGUAGCAUGCUUGGCUUCAGCUGUUUGUGAGACUAAGGCAGGAGAGAGGAUUGCAAAUUUAAAGCCAGCCUGGACAGCUUAGCCUGUGUGUCCCCACCCUACACCCCCUAACCACACUCCCAGACUCGAGUAGAGUUGGGAAUAUAAUCAAUGGGUGUGCUCGUCUAGUACAUACAGGACUCCAGGGCCAACCUCCAGAAUUCUACAAAAGAAGGACCCCUUGCCAACAGGAGCAAAUCAAGAACUCAGACCUAUGGUUUUCCAUUUUCAUACUUUCAGACGAAAGUAAAACCUCUGGCAUCUCCAGCUUCCUUUCA